rnacentral:rRNA from 1 species
CAAUAGCGUAUAUUAAAGUUGUUGCGGUGAAAAAGCUCGUAGUUGGAUUUCUACCGAAGAUAGCCGGUCGGGUCUUCGACCUUGUAUCUGGUUUUGUCUUUGGUAUCCUCAUAGGGAACGUUUCUGCGCUUUAUUGCGUGGUGCGGUAUCUAUGACUUUUACUUUGAGGAAAUUAGAGUGUUCACGGCAGGCAAACGCCUUGAAUAUAUUAGCAUGGAAUAAUAACAUAGGAUCUUCGUCCUAUUUUGUUGGUUUCUAGGGCUAAGAUAAUGAUUAAUAGGGAUAAUUGGGGGCAUCUGUAUCAACGCGUCAGAGGUGGAAUUCUUGGAUUGCGUUGCGACAAACUACUGCGAAAGCAUUUGCCAAGGAUGUUUUCAUUGA